GAUGAACGCUGGCGGCGUGCUUAACACAUGCAAGUCGAGCGAACGGACGAGCAUCUUGCUUUCCUGAUGUUAGCGGCGGACGGGUGAGUAACACGUGGAUAACCAAUCUAUAAGACUGGGUAAACUACGGGAAACCGGAUCUCACACCGGAUCUUCUUUUGAACCGCAUGGUUCAUAAGUGAAAGACGGACUUGCUGUCCCUUAUAGAUGGAUCCGCGAUGCAUUAGUUAGUUGGUAAGGAAACGGCUUACCAAGGCCGCGAUGCAUUGACGACCUGGGAAGGUGGACGGGCAAACUGGAGCUGGGACACGGUCCAAGCUCCUACGGGGAGGAGCAGUAGGGAAACUUCCGCAAUGGGCGAAAGCCUGGAGGAACAAAGCCGGGUGGUGGAAGGAGGUCUUCGGAGCGUUAAACUCUGUUUGUAGGGAAGAAAAUGUGUGUAAGUAACUGUGCGCAUAUUGACGGUACCUAGUCAGAAAGCCACGGCUAACUUCGUG
rnacentral:rRNA from 1 species